rnacentral:rRNA from 1 species
UACGUAGGGUGCAAGCGUUGUCCGGAAUUAUUGGGCGUAAAGAGCUCGUAGGCGGUUUGUUGCGUCGGCUGUGAAAUCCCGAGGCUCAACCUCGGGUCUGCAGUCGAUACGAGCAAACUAGAGUGUUGCAGGGGAGACUGGAAUUCCUGGUGUAGCGGUGAAAUGCGCAGAUAUCAGGAGGAACACCGGUGGCGAAGGCGGGUCUCUGGGCAACAACUGACGCUGGAGGAAGCGGAAAGCGUGGGUAGCAAACAGG